UGCAGAGUCUUUGGGGCCAUACUGUGC
rnacentral:piRNA from 1 species